rnacentral:lncRNA from 1 species
GGCCAGAGGGAGAGGGCCCCUGGAGAGUGGAGGGGACUCCCCUCUCUCCAGCGAGCGUCGCAGGGCUUCGUACUAGGCUAGUCCACUACUAGCCCCUAGGACUCUCAAAGACCCUGACCCCCUGAAGUGACCCCCUUUCCUUCUUUCAAACACACUGCCAGGGAAGGAUUUAGAUUCCCGAAAGGCCCAGUUCUUGCUCCAGCAGUCUCUCUUCGGAGCAUGGGACCAGGGCUUAUCACCAAACCCCACGGACUGGGAAACAGAGAAGUCUGGGGACUUGCAGAGUCACAUAGUGUUUGGUGGCUGCACAGGGACUGUCCCAGGUCCCAGUCACCCCUGUGGCUCUGCAGUCCCCUUCCCCACCAAGCUCCAAGGAGGCCCUUCCUCGCCACUACACAGGAACUGAAAGACUAGGCAGGAGGCAAUAAGCAGCCCGCCUCCAAGUCCCAAAGGACACAGAAGGUUAGGGAGGACAAGCACCCUGCACAAAGGGCUGAGGCUGCAGGAAAAGGUGGACCCCGAGCACCUCCUGACAAGGCAAAGGUAAGUCACAUCCCGGGAGAGGGGGGAGGGGCUGGAUCUUGGGGAGAACUUCCAGCUCCAAGUCCCCAUGGGGUACAAAACCACUGCAGAGGGUGGAGCACAGGGCCCUCCUCCCCACCUGAUUGCAGGAAUAACCUUCAGGCAGCAGAGGGCACUCGGGGCCACAGAGAGCAGGAAAAUCCCAGACAUCCCUCUAGACUCCAAAGCCUAGAGAGCAGAGCAGCAGGUGGAACACAGGACGGAGGGCUGGCACCUAACCACUGGCAAAGGGCAGGAGGCCCCACCCUUUCUAUUAACUCAGGCCUGAGGUCUUCUAAAUGAGCUGAGGAGGGCUCAAAUCACAGGGCCUGGUCCCUCCACUGGAGUCUGAUGACACCUCAACCCUCAAACUCUCUCCAGAACAUGCUGCACCAACCAAAGCUCUUAGGCCCACAGCCCUGCGGUCUGAGACUGAGGGGCCUCUCCCCCUCCUUCUGUCACAACUGAAGAACGUCAGACCCCGGCUCCAUAGUGUGGACCGAGAGGGCGUUAGGCUGAAGGUCUUAUAGGAGAACCCCCCUCUCUGACCCUGGGCCUCUGGGCAGACCUGCCCCUUCUCUCAAAGCAGGAAAGGCAGCCAGAUAGCCUGGAGUGACUGGCAGAAUGCACGCUCGAGGUCAGCUGGAUGGAUGAGGAGUGAACCAAUGAGCAGACGCAAGGAGAACCAACACAGCACAGACAGGAGAGGGUGACAAGCACCACCCCGCCACCUCCAGCUAUGGGAGAUGA